rnacentral:rRNA from 1 species
CUAUACNUGCAGUCGAGCGGACAGAAGGGAGCUUGCUCCCGGAUGUUAGCGGCGGACGGGUGAGUAACACGUGGGUAACCUGCCUGUAAGACUGGGAUAACUCCGGGAAACCGGAGCUAAUACCGGAUAGUUCCUUGAACCGCAUGGUUCAAGGAUGAAAGACGGUUUCGGCUGUCACUUACAGAUGGACCCGCGGCGCAUUAGCUAGUUGGUGGGGUAAUGGCUCACCAAGGCGACGAUGCGUAGCCGACCUGAGAGGGUGAUCGGCCACACUGGGACUGAGACACGGCCCAGACUCCUACGGGAGGCAGCAGUAGGGAAUCUUCCGCAAUGGACGAAAGUCUGACGGAGCAACGCCGCGUGAGUGAUGAAGGUUUUCGGAUCGUAAAGCUCUGUUGUUAGGGAAGAACAAGUGCGAGAGUAACUGCUCGCACCUUGACGGUACCUAACCAGAAAGCCACGGCUAACUACGUGCCAGCAGCCGCGGUAAUACGUAGGUGGCAAGCGUUGUCCGGAAUUAUUGGGCGUAAAGGGCUCGCAGGCGGUUUCUUAAGUCUGAUGUGAAAGCCCCCGGCUCAACCGGGGAGGGUCAUUGGAAACUGGGAAACUUGAGUGCAGAAGAGGAGAGUGGAAUUCCACGUGUAGCGGUGAAAUGCGUAGAGAUGUGGAGGAACACCAGUGGCGAAGGCGACUCUCUGGUCUGUAACUGACGCUGAGGAGCGAAAGCGUGGGGAGCGAACAGGAUUANAUACCCUGGNAGUCCACGCCGUAAACGAUGAGUGCUAAGUGUUAGGGGGGUUUCCNCCCCCUUAGUGCUGCAGCUAACGCAUUAAGCACUCCCGCCCUGGGGGAGU